rnacentral:rRNA from 1 species
GUAGUCCACACUGUAAACUAUGAAUACUCGUUGCUUGCGAUAUACUGUAAGUGACCACGCGAAAGCAUUAAGUAUUCCACCUGGGGAGUACGCCGGCAACGGUGAAACUCAAAGGAAUUGACGGGGGCCCGCACAAGCGGAGGAACAUGUGGUUUAAUUCGAUGAUACGCGAGGAACCUUACCCGGGCUUGAAAUGCAUCUGACAGGAGCCGAAAAGCUCUUUUCUUCGGACAGAUGUGUAGGUGCUGCAUGGUUGUCGUCAGCUCGUGCCGUGAGGUGUCGGCUUAAGUGCCAUAACGAGCGCAACCCUUAUCUUUAGUUACUAACAGGUCAUGCUGAGGACUCUGAAGAGACUGCCGUCGUAAGAUGUGA